rnacentral:rRNA from 1 species
AUGCAGUCGAGCGGGGGAGGUAGCUUGCUACCGGACCUAGCGGCGGACGGGUGAGUAAUGCUUAGGAAUCUGCCUAUUAGUGGGGGACAACAUCUCGAAAGGGAUGCUAAUACCGCAUACGUCCUACGGGAGAAAGCAGGGGAUCUUCGGACCUUGCGCUAAUAGAUGAGCCUAAGUCGGAUUAGCUAGUUGGUGGGGUAAAGGCCUACCAAGGCGACGAUCUGUAGCGGGUCUGAGAGGAUGAUCCGCCACACUGGGACUGAGACACGGCCCAGACUCCUACGGGAGGCAGCAGUGGGGAAUAUUGGACAAUGGGGGGAACCCUGAUCCAGCCAUGCCGCGUGUGUGAAGAAGGCCUUAUGGUUGUAAAGCACUUUAAGCGAGGAGGAGGCUACUUUAGUUAAUACCUAGAGAUAGUGGACGUUACUCGCAGAAUAAGCACCGGCUAACUCUGUGCCAGCAGCCGCGGUAAUACAGAGGGUGCGAGCGUUAAUCGGAUUUACUGGGCGUAAAGCGUGCGUAGGCGGCUUAUUAAGUCGGAUGUGAAAUCCCCGAGCUUAACUUGGGAAUUGCAUUCGAUACUGGUGAGCUAGAGUAUGGGAGAGGAUGGUAGAAUUCCAGGUGUAGCGGUGAAAUGCGUAGAGAUCUGGAGGAAUACCGAUGGCGAAGGCAGCCAUCUGGCCUAAUACUGACGCUGAGGUACGAAAGCAUGGGGAGCAAACAGGAUUAGAUACCCUGGUAGUCCAUGCCGUAAACGAUGUCUACUAGCCGUUGGGGCCUUUGAGGCUUUAGUGGCGCAGCUAACGCGAUAAGUAGACCGCCUGGGGAGUACGGUCGCAAGACUAAAACUCAAAUGAAUUGACGGGGGCCCGCACAAGCGGUGGAGCAUGUGGUUUAAUUCGAUGCAACGCGAAGAACCUUACCUGGCCUUGACAUACUAGAAACUUUCCAGAGAUGGAUUGGUGCCUUCGGGAAUCUAGAUACAGGUGCUGCAUGGCUGUCGUCAGCUCGUGUCCUGAGAUGUUGGGUUAAGUCCCGCAACGAGCGCAACCCUUUUCCUUACUUGCCAGCAUUUCGGAUGGGAACUUUAAGGAUACUGCCAGUGACAAACUGGGAGGAAGGCGGGGGACGACGUCAAGUCAUCAUGGGCCCUUACGGGCAGGGCUAACCACGUGCUAC